rnacentral:rRNA from 1 species
GAUGAACGCUGGCGGCGUGCCUAAUACAUGCAAGUCGAGCGAACAGACGAGGAUCUUGCUCCUCUGACGUUAGCGGCGGACGGGUGAGUAACACGUGGAUAACCUACCUAUUAGACUGGGAUAACUUCGGGAAACUGGAGCUAAUACCGGAUAAUAUAUUGAACGGCAUGGUUCAAUAGUGAAAUAGGUUUUUGCUGUCCUUUAUACAUGGAUCCGCGCCGCAUUAGUGAGUUGGUACGGUAACGGCUUACCAAGGCCACGAUGGGUAGCCGACCGGGGAGGGUGAUGGGCCACACUGAAACUGAGAGACGAUCCUGACUCCGACGGGCGGCCGCAGUAGGGACUCUUGCGAGCUGGGCGAAAGCCUGCAGGAGCAGCGCAGGGUGGGUGAAGAAGGUCUUCGGAGCGUAAGACGCUGUUAGUAGGGAAGAACACUUGUGUAAGUAACUAUGCACGUCUUGACGGUACCUAGUCAGAAAGCCACGGCUAACUACGUG